GAUAAAUUCUCAGGAGUGAAAUUACAGAGUCAAAGAUCAUGAAAUAAUAACUAAAAUAUAAUGUUUCCAAUGGCCGCUUCUUAUCUGAUCAUCAUUCAAGCCUUUUUAUUGGUUUGUCCUUCAGUACUACAACAAAAUGGAACACAAGAAGAAAUUAAAUGUAUGGAUCAAAUAAAGAAAAUGGAAACAACUGGUUGCAACCAAGAAAUAACAUCAUUUGAAAUUAAUCUGAAGGAAAAAAAGUACCAGGAGGACUUUAACCCGCUGGUGAGAGGAUGUUCCUGUUACUGCUGUAAGAAUCACACUCGGGCAUAUAUCCACCAUCUGCUGGUGACCAAUGAGCUGCUGGCCGGAGUCCUGCUUAUGAUGCACAACUUUGAACACUACUUUGGGUUUUUCCAUUACAUCCGGGAAGCACUAAAAAGUGACAAACUGACACAGUUGAAAGAGCUCAUCCACAGGCAGGCAUCUUGAGAUCUUGCAAAUAUAAGUCUCACUCUUCACACUGAGCCUGUACCACUGUUGUAACAUGGGAAGACGUGAAGAAGAAAUAAUUUGAGCUUUAAUUAUUUAUAUUUGGACAUAAGGUCUGCUAAAAUAAAGAAUAUUUGUACCAAACUGCCCACAUGAGGGUGAAGAGAUUUCCUCAAAAGACUUAAAUGACCUGGAUUGAUCAGAGAGAAUUGAACUGUGACCUUUAAAACUUCUAGACUAAUUCUUUUAGUUGAUAGAGAUUCAUUUAGUCAAAGACAGAAGCUUUAACUGUGAGGGCACAACCUUGAAGUGGGAGUGAUGAGAUUCUGAGGGACCAAUGAAUUGGAUU
rnacentral:sRNA from 1 species